GAUGAACGCUAGCUACAGGCUUAACACAUGCAAGUCGCGGGGCAGCAUGGGGGUUGCUUGCAAUCCCCGAUGGCGACCGGCGCACGGGUGAGUAACGCGUAUCCAACCUGCCCUUCACCACGGGAUAACCCGGCGAAAGUCGGACUAAUACCGUAUGUUGUCCAUUGGCGGCAUCCGAUUUGGACGAAAGGUUUGGCGGUGAAGGAUGGGGAUGCGUCCGAUUAGCUGGACGGCGGGGUGACGGCCCACCGUGGCGACGAUCGGUAGGGGUUCUGAGAGGAAGGCCCCCCACACUGGAACUGAGACACGGUCCAGACUCCUACGGGAGGCAGCAGUGAGGAAUAUUGGUCAAUGGGCGUAAGCCUGAACCAGCCAAGUAGCGUGCAGGAUGACGGCCCUAUGGGUUGUAAACUGCUUUUAUGCGGGGAUAAAGUGGCCCACGUGUGGGUUUUUGCAGGUACCGCAUGAAUAAGGACCGGCUAAUUCCGUG
rnacentral:rRNA from 1 species